rnacentral:rRNA from 1 species
CCCUCCCCCGCCCCUGCUAUGGCGUCGCAGCCCUAGGCCCUCCUUGACCGCGACACCACCCGCCUUGCCCGUCCUCCUCCCCUUCACUUCUCAUGCCACACCGCCAACCAUCUGCGCCCCACGAUGACGGCGACUUCGCCGCCACCCGGCGGCCACGCUCGAGCGCGUGACGGUGGAGUUCCCCUAGAAGCCGUACGGGGCGCAACUAGCCUUCAUGGGCCGCUCGCCUCCUCCUCCUCCUCUCUGAGCUCUCUCUCUCUCUCUCUCUCUCACGUGUUGCCGUCGCCGACCCUCACAGCUGCUCCUCCCCACGCUACCUGCUUCCGCCUAUAGGUGUCAGACUCGCCAUGGAAGGGGAAGGAGGAAGGACGAGAGGAGGAGAAGAACGGGUGUGCCGCCGGAGGAGGCGGCGGCAGACGGGGGGAGGAGGCGGGCGGGGAUUGGGGCUAGGGUUCGUGUGGCCGUGGCAUCGUGCAACAGCAUAGGUCCAUGGCGGCCGCAAGACUCAAGGACGAGGCGCACGACGCGCCGCGCGCAAGCAAAGGUCGCCCAGCGAAUACUGACCCAGCCAAAUGGGAAGGCCGCCGAUCCCACCAGUCAUGGAUUCUUAUACUAGCCCAAUAGGGUUGUUCUCCAUCGUCCUCAUGCCCUCCUGUCGAUGGGGAGGAGAGGGGCAACGAGGCCGCAGCUCCAGACCGCGCACACAUCGCUGGGUGGAGGAGAGGCCAGCUGCAGGGCAAGGGGCAGUGGGCUUAGAGCUCCAAGCGGCGCUCCUGUCACGAUGUGGUGAGAUGCAAGGGAGGGGUAGGAUGCUAGUGACAGCAGAAGGAGCAGGCUGGUGUAGAGGGCAAGCAGCACAGGAAGAUUAAGAAGGAUAUGAUUGUGAAGCUUGUGGUUCUUCCAAUAUACCGUCAAUACUCUAUAUCAACAAGCGGGUCUAGCAUCCGCAUUCUACGACAUUUUGUAUAUUUUCAUGGAUAGGGUUUGGGUGUCCUGAUGAGAGCAGUCCAGUGGCUGCACCUCUGCAACCUCGCCAACGUGGACAAUCACUGGUACCAUCUUUUUACCCUAUCCAGUUAUUACCUCCAUUUUAUGCAGUUUCUUUUCCAACUGAAUGAAGUCUCGAGGUGGACGCGCGAGCUCUUAUUUUGUUGUUCUUGUUGUUGCAUAUAUGUCUUCAUGCAUCUAAUCCAUUAAAAAUUGCAGAACUAAAUGGGUUGGGGGGAUAUGGCUAUGGUGUUUAUUCCUUCACAUUGGUUUAGGUAUUUCUGAAUUGGUUCACUCUGAAAAAGGUGUGUCACGGUUUGAUUUCUGCAUCUGCAGCAAGUGCAGAUUUUUCUAGCGUGGAGCAUCCACACCUUCUUCUCCCCAGUGCUCACUACUUUGUUGGCACAUGUUUCGUAGAAUAGAACACCUUUUUAAUGCCAUAUUUCAUGCUAUACAGUGUGAUGGAUCAUUAGAUGGCUAGCCUUGUGUGGCACUCAUUGACGAAUUUUCACUUUAGGAUUUCUUGUGGCCCCUUGGUUUUAAAGUAUGUUCAUCUUGAGAAAUUAUAGUAAUAAGGAGGGACACAAUAAAUAUUUGUUAGCUAGGUUGCUCGCCUAAUCAAGCUCACAUGUGGAUCAUUUACUGUUUUGCGUUAUUGGAGUUUUGCUACAGUACUCAUUCAGAAAAAUAUGAGUGGCAUGUUGCAAUAUGGUGCUCAGGACGAAAAUGAUAUUUGAAAUUGCAUGUUCUAUGACAAUGGUGUAAUACCAUAAUAUUUACAAAUUAUAUUUUUUUUUCUGACUUUGCAACCAGAAUGUGUUGCCUUUAGUAAUAUGUACGCCCACUGUUUAUUUCCAGCAAGACAUGAUAAAUAUUGUUCUUCAUAUUACUUCAUAUGACCUUAUUCAUGUUUCACACUGGCAAUGAUGUGGUGCUAUACACUGUUUCCUUUUAUGGGACUAUCAACAGCAGAGAGGAUACUACAAUUGGCUUGCCCUUUGUUAAAUCUCACCCCAUAUGGUUUGAAUGUAAGUUUUCCUCGCUUUCGGAUUGAACUUAUACAGAUUUAAUAUAACUAAAAUUUCAGUCUUAUAUUUAUGAAUCUUGUGUUGUACUUAGACAAACAAUUGUUUGCACUGUUCGGAACAGAACUUGCAUCGACUUUGGGCUUGAUUAGUCAACCCUAUUUUUUUUAUCUUAACAUGGUCGAAGCACUUAGUGCAUGAUAUAAGGGAUCUUUAACACCUUCUAUUUCCAUCAAUGCUAAGAUGGUCCAACGUCAAAAGCACCAAAACAUUAUGUUGAUCGAUUGAAUGGAGACAUCGAGCGUGCCAAUAUAGAAAUGCCUUCCCUUGCAUGUUUUUGAGCUAUUUCUGCUGCUUACUGGAACUAAAUUUAAUUGUUGUAGUAUAGAUACCAAUUGUUCUAUUGGUUUGUGUUACCGAAGAUAAAAAGAAUUGUUCUUUUUAUUCGAUCACAACCGAAAAGUAGUAUGCCUAUAUAGUUUUUCAAUCAGUAAGAAUAGUUUCAGUUCAACCAUUUUCUUAUCUCGGUGCCUCGGAGUUGGCAUUAUUGUUUUGCUAGCUAUGUCUAGAGAAAAUUCCCUUUCCAUUAAUUUGUCUUUGUGCUAUCAUAUGGAAUGAACCUGUACCAGAUUCAAACUAUGGAGCAUUGUGUAUUGGGAGCAAAACCUCAAUUCAUUAUUGUAAGUGUAGAUCUGUUCAUGAUGCACAUUUUAAUAUUUCACCGGCUAUUUUUUUACCAGGUUAUCCCAAGCAUAUGCUCUUGUCUUGCAUGUCGGUUUUAGAUUUAUUUAUUUUGAAAGAGUGAAAUGACUAGGAACAGAGAGUAUCAAGGUAUUUAUAUUUUUUGUACAAUCUCGUGUUCAUUCUGCUUGUAAUUCGAAACAAGAUCUAGGGACCUCAAAAUGUUAUGGUAUAAGACUAAACAUGUCACUGCUGCUAUGUUAGAACUGCUGGACCUCAAUAAUAUUUUCUUAUUAAGCUUCAUCCACUACUAAAAAAUGUCUAUAUAUAUGGUCAAUUUUACACUUAGGCACUGUUAGAAGAAACCGCUUUUAAAAAGCUUCAUCAAUACAUCACAAAGCUCAAUAUAUUUUAAAAUCUGAACUACACUUUCUAAUGGCUUCAUAUACCGAUUUUGUUUCUACUUUUUAUUUAUGAUCGUCUCAUAUUACCAUUAAUGGCUCUAUGUUGUACAAGCUUAAGUUACCCAUUUGGAUAACAGUAGGCUACAAUAAUCAAGCACAUUUUGGGUUUAAUCUUGUUCUCAGCUAUUGAGCAAUUGCAGAAUUCAACUAACGUUUAGUUGCUGCAACACUAUAUAGUACCCAACACUUUGGACGACGAUGCAUCAAUGCAAGUGACUCCAAUAUCUCUCCAUAUGCCUGGUUGGCAAGCGCAUACCAAGCAUUAAAUACGACGCCUGUUCAAUGAACAAAAUACUCCCUCCGUUCCUAAAUAUAAGUCUUUGAGAGAUUACACUAUGGACCACAUACGGAGCAAAAUGUGAAUCUAUACUUUAAAAUGCAUCUAGAUACAUCCGUAUAUGGUCCAUAGUGUAAUCUCUCCAAAGACUUAUAUUUAGGAACGGAGGGAGUAUUAAUUAUGGCAAGGUAGAGGAUGUUAUGAUUGUCUUUACGCAUGACCAUGUAUACACAUAAAAUAUAGUAAAACAUCGACUAAUCUGUAUUUUAUCCCUCCUUACAGUACUUCAUCAACCCAUACACAUUAAAUAAUCUCAAGAAAUUUCUAAACCCAUCUGUGGAGCACAUGGAGAUCAAAACUAUACACGUGGAUGAGUUUGGGAAGUUCUUCUUUGGUCAAGCUAUCGGUCCUUCUUGUGUGUAUAGUUCCUAAUCAAAAGCUGAAUAUUCGAUUGAUACCUGGUCAAUGGUCAUAGAUGUCCAUCUGCUAUUUUACCUGAGAGAUAGUACAUGCAUGUAUCCUCUACAGUUUGAGCAAGCUUAAAGCCCUGUUAUUCGCAGAUUUUGGGGAUUGGAUGAUGAUACGGAAGAUAUUUGGGCUUUUGCCAAUGACAGUCCACCAAAAACACCCUCUUUGAAAAGCUGCUUAGAUGAUGAUGUCAUUUUCGAUAUCGACGGCGCAUGCAGCGAUGACUCUGCCUGAUAUCCAUGACUGCACUAUCUUAGUCACCAUAAGCUGAAUGACCAGAAAAGCAAUGUAAAUAAGCUAUCAGGAACUGAUUAUAUGCCUUUGUCUGCUACUCCCUCCGUCCCAUAAUAUAAGAGCGUUUUUAACACUAUUCUAGUGUCAAGAACGCUCUUAUAUUACGGGACGGAGGGAGUAUGUAUGAACAUUAUAC